AGAGUUUGAUCCUGGCUCAGGAUGAACGCUAGCGGCAGGCUUAACACAUGCAAGUCGAGGGGUAUAAGGGGGCUUGCUCCCUUAGAGACCGGCAAACGGGUGCGGAACACGUACGCAAUCUACCCCUAUCUUGGAGAUAGCCCAUAGAAAUGUGGAUUAAUACCCAAUAGUAUAUUUAGGUGGCAUCAUUUAGAUAUUAAAGAAAUUCGGAUAGGGAUGAGCGUGCGUAAGAUUAGGUAGUUGGUGAGGUAACGGCUCACCAAGCCAACGAUCUUUAGCUGAUGUGAGAGCAUGAUCAGCCACACGGGCACUGAGACACGGGCCCGACUCCUACGGGAGGCAGCAGUGAGGAAUAUUGGGCAAUGGACGGAAGUCUGACCCAGCCAUGCCGCGUGAAGGAUGAAGGCGUUCUGCGUUGUAAACUUCUUUUAUCAGGGAAGAAACCACAGAUUUCUAUUUGUGUUGACGGUACCUGAGGAAUAAGCACCGGCUAACUCCGUGCCAGCAGCCGCGGUAAUACGGAGGGUGCAAGCGUUAUCCGGAUUUACUGGGUUUAAAGGGUGUGUAGGCGGGCAUUUAAGUCUGGGGUGAAAUCUCCGAGCUCAACUCGGAAACUGCCUUGGAUACUAUUUGUCUUGAAUUAUGUUGAGGUUGGCGGAAUAUAACAUGUAGCGGUGAAAUGCAUAGAUAUGUUAUAGAACACCGAUUGCGAAGGCAGCUAACUAAGCAUAUAUUGACGCUGAGGCACGAAAGCGUGGGGAUCAAACAGGAUUAGAUACCCUAGUAGUCC
rnacentral:rRNA from 1 species